rnacentral:rRNA from 1 species
AGUGAACGCUGGCGGCAGGCCUAACACAUGCAAGUCGAACGAAAGCACAGUAAGAGCUUGCUCUUACGGGUGGCGAGUGGCGGACGGGUGAGGCAUACAUCGGAAUCUACUUUUACGUGGGGGAUAACGUAGGGAAACUUACGCUAAUACCGCAUACGUCCUACGGGUGGAAGCAGUGGUUCUUCGGACCUUUCGCGAUUGUAUGAGCCGAUGUCGGAUUAGCUAGUUGGCGGGGUAAAGGCCCACCAAGGCGACGAUCCGUAGCUGGUCUGAGAGGAUGAUCAGCCACACUGGAACUGAGACACGGUCCAGACUCCUACGGGAGGCAGCAGUGGGGAAUAUUGCACAAUGGGCGAAAGCCUGAUCCAGCCAUACCGCGUGGGUGAAGAAGGCCUUCGGGUUGUAAAGCCCUUUUGUUAGGAAAGAAAAGCAGCAGGUUAAUACCCGGAUGUUCUGACGGUACCCAAAGAAUAAGCCACGGCUAACUACGUG